AGGUGUGGCAGGAGAAACAUGAGCCAACAGCGUGGAAGGUGUCAAAAGAGGAAAGUCAAGAAUGUAGGCGGUGGCGCCAAAUGUUCACAGAGGACGGAAAGGAAGCCACGCACUUGUGCAAUAACUAGGUGUCACUGCCUUCCUCAGGAGCUACUUGGACUCAGCAUCUGGAUGGCCUGUCAGUGCGACCUUUAUCUGUCUGGGUGAGAUGGCCUCAGAAGGCCAAGAAACGCAAGCUCUUCGAGAUGGCCGUGAGCACAAGCGUGAAUGGAACUGGUGGGAAGUGUCUAAACAUCGUCUGGAGAAGUAUCACUAGAACGAAG